AAGAUAGGUAUAAGUCGCUAUAACUGAAACGAUGUGAAUAAUCGAUUGUCAUUUUAAAAAUAAAAAAUCGCCGAUGUCGGUAUUUUUUUUUUUAAUAAUACGAAUAUUCCUGCCGCGGCUUAACUAAAAUAAAAAAAAUGGCUGACGAAGCUGAAUCAUCCGAUAAGAUUGAAGUCUAAAUAUACCUGGCGAAUUGCCAAUACGAAGCUAAAGUGACCAGGGUUAAAAUGUAAAUAUGUUAAAAGAGUAUUUUAUAGAAUUUAAAUAAUUUCAUUGUUAUUGAUAUCUGUAUUAAUAUAGGGAGGUGACCAUUCUACAUUGAUUCAGUGCCUUUUUAUGGGAUUCGAAACUGUGACUGUGAGAUGUAUGAGAGUUUGACUUCUAGGCGGGCAAUUCUACUUUCACUUUAAACGGUAAGUUGAAAAGAGCAUGCUGCAUCUUUGAUGUAAAAUAUCUCGAAAAGGAAUCAAGGACCCUAUUGCAAAUUUGGCCUUGUUGGAAAGGAUGGCAGGUGCCUGAGUGUAUCCCGACCCAUUUCCAGGCUAGCAUCAGAUGUCAUGAUGGACCUUUAAAAUCUUUCACAUGUGUACUUUCAAGAACCAUAUACAUUAUUUUUGAAAACUGGUUGCCAUGGUAAUAAAAUCUGAAAAUUAAAACAUGGGCUU